rnacentral:lncRNA from 1 species
CGGCCUACGCUGGGUCAAAACACAGCCAGCACACAGACAUGGCCCGCCAGGAGUGGAGUGAGCAGUUGUGGACAAUAAGCAAUGGAGACUAUAGACUGAAAGGUGUGAUGUCAUAGGCCAGCAAGGAUGUAGAGUUCUAUGGGCCGGAUGAAAGGAUAAAGCUGAGUGCAUUUCCUAUUCGAAAAUGCUAAUUAGCAUCAAAGUAGACAUCGUGCAAAACUACAAAUCCCUGCAAGCUCCUGCACGUCAUCUCUAGCUGUGUCAAGUGUCAGUGUGCAGCGGGUAGGACGGAGUCAGGCGCAGGACACAGAACUGAGUAAAAACGUACUUUACUCGAAUAAAUCACAAACUAAUUCCAUACAGGGAAAAUAUUCCAGCUCGACACA